UACGUAGGGUGCAAGCGUUAAUCGGAAUUACUGGGCGUAAAGCGUGCGCAGGCGGUUUUGUAAAUCUGACGUGAAAUCCCCGGGCUCAACCUGGGAAUUGCGUUGGAGACUGCAAGGCUGGAGUCUGGCAGAGGGGGGUAGAAUUCCACGUGUAGCAGUGAAAUGCGUAGAGAUGUGGAGGAACACCGAUGGCGAAGGCAGCCCCCUGGGUCAAGACUGACGCUCAUGCACGAAAGCUGGGGGAGCGAACAGG
rnacentral:rRNA from 1 species